rnacentral:rRNA from 1 species
UACGUAGGGGGCUAGCGUUGUCCGGAAUCAUUGGGCGUAAAGAGCGUGUAGGCGGUCCGGUAAGUCCGCUGUGAAAGUCGGGGGCUCAACCCUCGAAUGCCGGUGGAUACUGUCGGGCUAGAGUGCGGAAGAGGCGAGUGGAAUUCCCGGUGUAGCGGUGAAAUGCGCAGAUAUCGGGAGGAACACCUAUGGCGAAGGCAGCUCGCUGGGACGUUACUGACGCUGAGGCACGAAAGCGUGGGGAGCAAACAGG